UUACUUAUUUCUUGUUUAUGAGGAGCGGCCUGACUACCAGGAGACUUAUAGUUCGAGAAUAUGCUAAAAAUUAUUUAUUGUAUUAGAUGUAUGGAUUGAAAAAAUUAUUCAAUUUUACACUAGACGCCUGGACUACUCGGGGGAGUAAAAUUUAAUAAGUUCUUUGCUAUCAUGAUGGUUGAACUCAACUAUGCAUAUAGGAUCGACCUGACUACCAGGGGACUAUUUGACAUAGAGCUAUUUAAGGAAAUUGUAU
rnacentral:lncRNA from 1 species